rnacentral:rRNA from 1 species
GAUGAACGCUGGCGGCGUGCCUAAUACAUGCAAGUAGAACGCUGAAGGAGGAGCUUGCUCUUCUGGAUGAGUUGCGAACGGGUGAGUAACGCGUAGGUAACCUGCCUGGUAGCGGGGGAUAACUAUUGGAAACGAUAGCUAAUACCGCAUGACAACAGUUAUUGCAUGAUAACUGUUUAAAAGGGGCAACUGCUCCACUACCAGAUGGACCUGCGUUGUAUUAGCUAGUUGGUGAGGUAACGGCUCACCAAGGCGACGAUACAUAGCCGACCUGAGAGGGUGAUCGGCCACACUGGGACUGAGACACGGCCCAGACUCCUACGGGAGGCAGCAGUAGGGAAUCUUCGGCAAUGGACGGAAGUCUGACCGAGCAACGCCGCGUGAGUGAAGAAGGUUUUCGGAUCGUAAAGCUCUGUUGUAAGAGAAGAACGAGUGUGAGAGUGGAAAGUUCGCACUGUGACGGUAUCUUACCAGAAAGGGACGGCUAACUACGU